rnacentral:rRNA from 1 species
AAAGACCUCGCGUUAUUGGAGCGGCCGAUAUCUGAUUAGCUAGUUGGUGGGGUAAAGGCUCACCAAGGCGACGAUCAGUAGCUGGUCUGAGAGGAUGAUCAGCCACACUGGAACUGAGACACGGUCCAGACUCCUACGGGAGGCAGCAGUGGGGAAUUUUGGACAAUGGGCGCAAGCCUGAUCCAGCCAUUCCGCGUGAGUGAAGAAGGCCUUCGGGUUGUAAAGCUCUUUCGCAAGGGAAGAAACGAUACGAGCGAAUAACUCGUGUUAAUGACGGUACCUUGAUAAGAAGCACCGGCUAACUACGUGCCAGCAGCCGCGGUAAUACGUAGGGUGCGAGCGUUAAUCGGAAUUACUGGGCGUAAAGCGUGCGCAGGCGGUUUUGUAAGUCAGAUGUGAAAUCCCCGGGCUCAACCUGGGAACU